UAAUAAAAGAAUACAAAAGAUGGAAAUAAAAUUAAAAAAUAGAAAAUGAAUGGCAAGAAAAAGGAGAACAAAUCAAACACUGGUCGAUUCUUUUUCUUCAUAAAAUCCAAAUCAAGUUGACCCUCUAUUCCUAUUCCAUGUCUAUCAUUUUCCUUCCACUGUUAUUCACCAAAUCUUCGUCAUCAAUGUAUCAAAUUUGACCUUCAAUUUCCUCAUCAUUUGAAACUUCCUCAGUUUUACUGGUUUACAAAAAAAUUAAAUGUUUUGCAGUUGGGUUAGUGACUUUGAAGACGAUGGUGGUGGUGUCAGUUGGCGCUAAUGGAUUACGAUUGUGCGUUUUUGGUGACGGUGAGUGAAUGGCAAUGAUGUUGUAGCAGUUUCAAUGACGGUGGUAGCUGUUGUGAAUGGUGGAGAGAUGACGUGGUAGUAGCUGCAGUGCCGGUGAUAGGGGCGAUGCUGGUGAUAUUGAUAACGGUAAUGGUGGCUGUUAAUGAUGGUGAGUGAUGACGGCGGCAGUGGUUGUUAAGCAAUGUUGAGCGGUGGCAGGAAGUGAUAAUGAAUGGUGGUGGUUAGGGCUGAGCAUGGAUCGGUUCAAUUCGGUUAUCUAUAAAUCACCAGUACCAUACUAAAUUUUGGUUAUUUUAAAAUUAAAGGUACCAGUACCGGACCAAAUAUAAAAUGAUCUAAUACCGUAUUGUAUCAAUUUUAUGGUUAAAUACAGUUCGGUUCAGUGCUA